rnacentral:rRNA from 1 species
GAGUUUGAUCGUGGCUCAGGAUGAACGCUAGCGGCAGGCUUAACACAUGCAAGUCGAGGGGUAUAGGUUUUCGGACCUAGAGACCGGCGCACGGGUGCGUAACGCGUAUGCAAUCUACCUUUUACAGAGGGAUAGCCCAGAGAAAUUUGGAUUAAUACCUCAUAGUAUUAUGAAAAGGCAUCUUUUCAUGAUUAAAGUUCCAACGGUAAAGAUGAGCAUGCGUCCCAUCAGCUAGAUGGUAAGGUAACGGCUUACCAUGGCGACGAUGGGUAGGGGUCCUGAGAGGGAGAUCCCCCACACUGGUACUGAGACACGGACCAGACUCCUACGGGAGGCAGCAGUGAGGAAUAUUGGUCAAUGGGCGCAAGCCUGAACCAGCCAUGCCGCGUGCAGGAUGACGGUCCUAUGGAUUGUAAACUGCUUUUGUACAGGAAGAAACAGUUCUACGUGUAGAACCUUGACGGUACUGUAAGAAUAAGGAUCGGCUAACUCCGUGCCAGCCGCCGCAGU